AGAGGAGGGAAUCGGUUCAUCUAAAAGUGGAAAUCAAACAAGCAAGAGCAAGUACUCCUAAGGGCAAGGGAGUAGUGAUCGGUGGAGUUUAAAGGUGCAGGAAGCUGGCGAUCUUUUGUGUAUAUAUAUUUUGCUUAAAAUGCAUCUUAUUUUGAAGUGAAGAUAUAUUGUAUAUCUAUUUUGAUAUGUAAAUAUUCCUCCAUAAGGAGGUGGCUAAGGGCAGAUAAACCAUGGUAAUUGCUAUUGAAGGAAAUGAUCAAUAUUUUGAU